UACGUAGGGACCAAGCGUUGUUCGGAUUUACUGGGCGUAAAGGGCGCGUAGGCGGCGUGGUAAGUCACUUGUGAAAUCUCUGAGCUUAACUCAGAACGGUCAAGUGAUACUGCUGUGCUAGAGUGCGGAAGGGGCAAUCGGAAUUCUUGGUGUAGCGGUGAAAUGCGUAGAUAUCAAGAGGAACACCUGAGGUGAAGACGGGUUGCUGGGCCGACACUGACGCUGGAUGCGCGAAAGCCAGGGGAGCAAACGGG
rnacentral:rRNA from 1 species